rnacentral:rRNA from 1 species
UACGGAGGGUGCGAGCGUUGUUCGGAAUCACUGGGCGUAAAGGGCGUGUAGGCGGUCCGCUAAGUCUGAUGUGAAAGCCCGGGGCUCACCCCCGGAAGUGCAUUGGAAACUGGCGGACUCGAGUCCCGGAGAGGAGAGUGGAAUUCCUGGUGUAGCGGUGAAAUGCGCAGAUAUCAGGAAGAACACCAAUGGCGAAAGCAGCUUUCUGGGACGGUACUGACGCUGAGACGCGAAAGCGUGGGGAGCAAACGGG